CAGUAGCCACGGUAAUACAGAGGGUGCGAGCGUUAAUCGGAUUUACUGGGCGUAAAGCGUGCGUAGGCGGCUUUUUAAGUCGGAUGUGAAAUCCCUGAGCUUAACUUAGGAAUUGCAUUCGAUACUGGGAAGCUAGAGUAUGGGAGAGGAUGGUAGAAUUCCAGGUGUAGCGGUGAAAUGCGUAGAGAUCUGGAGGAAUACCGAUGGCGAAGGCAGCCAUCUGGCUUAAUACUGACGCUGAGGUACGAAAGCAUGGGGAGCAAACAGGAUUAGAUACCCCCGUAGUCCCUGUCUCUUAUAC
rnacentral:rRNA from 1 species